UUCUCAACCCGCCUCCAAGCCCUCACGCCUUUUCUACCUUGCAGAAAACAGAGGCUAGCUCUUCCACCCUUUUCCACCGUUGCAGAAGACAUGGAAUCUUUCACCUUCUUCUAGCAGCAAAGGCCGAAUAACCCAAUCGUUCCAACAGCCACUCUUAAUCGUAAGGUACAACAUUUUUAGGGUUUUUGAUUUCUGUAAAUCUUUGUGUUUUUGCUUGAUCUGAUGGUCCAUGUAGUUUGGGAUUACACAUUCUUCGAAGAGAAUCUCGAGUUUCCUAAGAACCAACCAGUUUCGCACCGCCUCUUUGCCUUUCUAAAACGCUCCGACUUGUCACGCUGGCCAACCGACGAAGGGCGGACGAACGAAUAAGCCAAGGCUGACAACGUUCAACGGCGGCUACCGUUUGGAUGGGACAUCCCACUACAUGAAAUGGUUAAUUCUUCUGCUGUGCUACAUUGUAAUCGGAGCUUGCUUUUUCGUUUCCAAAACACCACUGAAUGAUGCAAAUGACUUACACUCUGGAGUUAGAUCAUCAACUGAAGGAAUCCUUAGAGUCUGAUA